GAUCCUGCUCAGGAUGAACGCUAGCUACAGGCUUAACACAUGCAAGUCGAGGGGCAGCAUGUCGGUUGCUUGCAACCGAUGAUGGCGACCGGCGCACGGGUGAGUAACGCGUAUCCAACCUACCCUUGUCCAUCGGAUAACCCGUCGAAAGGCGGCCUAACACGAUAUGCGGUUCACAGCAGGCAUCUAACGUGAACGAAAUGUGAAGGAGAAGGAUGGGGAUGCGU
rnacentral:rRNA from 1 species